UUCUGGGCCUGCAGAGCUGCCGAAUCAUCUCCGAGAGAGUCGCGUGUAUUUGUUUCUUCCCUUUUCUCCCUGCGAAAUGCAGGUCCGGGGAGUCAGUAAGGAAGAUGCUGGGACACCCAGAAGCCGGGAGACGGACUUGCUGACUCUAAGCCAGACCUCAUCAUGUGUCUGGAGCAAAGGAAAGAGCCCUGGGAUGUGAAGAAACAUGGCACAUUAGCCAAACUUCCAGAGGCUGUUGACAUUCAAGGAUGUGGCCAUAGAAUUCUCUCCAGAGGAGUGGGCAUGACUAAACUCCCCUCAGCGAAUAUUGUACAGGACUGUGAUGUUAGAGAACCAUAGAAACCUGGUUUUUCUAGGACUUGCUGUCUCUAAGCCAGACCUUAUUACAUGUCUGGAGCAAAGGAAAGAGCCCUGGAAUGUAAAGGGACAUGGCACGUUAGCCAAACUUUCAGUGAUGCAUACUGGAAAGAAACCCUACAAAUGCGAAGAAUG